UACGUAGGGGGCAAGCGUUGUCCGGAAUCAUUGGGCGUAAAGAGCGUGUAGGCGGUCCGGUAAGUCGGCUGUGAAAGUCCAGGGCUCAACCCUGGGAUGCCGGUCGAUACUGCCGGACUAGAGUUCGGAAGAGGCGAGUGGAAUUCCCGGUGUAGCGGUGAAAUGCGCAGAUAUCGGGAGGAACACCUAUGGCGAAGGCAGCUCGCUAGGGACGUUACUGACGCUGAGACGCGAAAAGCGUGGGGGAGCAAACAGG
rnacentral:rRNA from 1 species